AUUGAACGCUGGCGGCAGGCCUAACACAGGCAAGUCGAACGAGUGGCGGAAGGGUGAGUAAUGUCUGGGAAACUGCCAGAUGGAGGGGGAUAACUACUGGAAACGGUAGCUAAUACCGCAUACCAUCGGAUGUGCCCAGAUGGGAUUAGCUAGUAGGUGGGGUAACGGCUCACCUAGGCGACAAUCCCUAGCUGGUCUGAGAGGAUGACCAGCCACACUGGAACUGAGACACGGUCCAUACUCCUACGGUAGGCAGCAGUGGGGAAUAUUGCACAAUGGGCGCAAGCCUGAUGCAGCCAUGCCGCGUGUAUGAAGAAGGCCUUCGGGUUGUAAAGUCCUUUCAGCGAGGAGGCGUUACUCGCAGAAGAAGCACCGGCUAACUCCGUGCCAGCAGCCGCGGUAAUUC
rnacentral:rRNA from 1 species